UCUAUGGGAGCCGUUCUCGCCAUGCAGCAUCGCUGGUCUGCGUCGGCACUUGCCAUCCCUGGGAUGGGCUUUUGUGGCUGGACUGGGGGCACAAGUGGGGACAGACGGGGCUGAGCCUCUCCAUGUGACACCGGCACCUCCGCCAGGCUCCCACACCUCCGCGAGGGACAAGGACAUUGCCCAGCUGGCCUUGGCCAAGGGAAGGGGCCCCUGGUGGUUCCCCACCACUGGGCACAGCGAAGCCAACUCUUUUCUCUGCAUUUUCCCCUUUUCCUCCCCCCAUUUGGCUUUUGGCAGCGGAGCUGCCGUGGCGGCUGGGGUGCGCGGUGCCGGGGAAGGGCUGCCAAGCCUCGGCAGCCCCCCGCGGCCCCCCGGCCCACCGUGCCAAGGCUGGUGGCUGGCAGAAGGGCUGCCUGCGCCUGGCAGGGCUCCGUCAGCUGCGGGAGGAUCCCUGUGCCGCGCUUGCUGCCAAUUUCCCUGCGAGCUGGCACCACAGGCGGCUCUGGAGGCACCGGCGGAGAAGGCUGGGGAGGACGGAUUGUGAAAGGGAGAGAGGAAAAAAAAAAUAAUGGACACAUGCCAUCGCUGGAGCGGCGAGGCUGCCAAAACGCCAGCAGGCAGCAGGGGCCAAAAUCCACCGGUGGCAGAGAGGAGGGUCUGGCAGCGUGGGCACAUGGAGAGCGGGCAGCACGGCAGAGGCACAGCGUGGCCGAGGCAGGAUGGGCAGCAAACGGAGGAGCCGGAGACAAGAGAGAUCCCAGUCUCGUGGGAGCAGCCCCUGCCUGGCCCUGGAUGCCACUGUGUCACCCAAUCCUGGGGCACAGACUCACACUUGGUGGUGCCAUGGGCCAUGUGACAUGGCAUGUGGAUGUGCCACCAGUUUCGUCCUUGCUGGGAUGUGCCAGCAACUGCUGAGCACCGAACCUGCUGGUACAUGGCAACAGGAAUGGGAAUCCCCCUGUGACCUUCCUGCAGCCAUCAGAUUUCAGCAUCCCCAGGAGUGAAGAAGGUUUAUCCAUUUGGAGGCUUAUCCAUGUGAACUCCAGUACACGUGGAGCUUUACCAAACACACUCAGGCCCUGCUGGCUGCCUCAGGGGCCAGGAUUUUGCCCGGGAAUGAGAAACGUGCUCCCAUUCAUGCUCUGGACCAUGGGAGUGCAGAGGCUGAUGCUGGCAUCACCCCACAGGACCUGCAUGGACACACCAAGGGCUGUGCCAGGAGCUCCUCUGCACACCUGGAGCACCAUCAGUCCUAAUCCUGACCCUGCUUCUCAGUGUUCAGGGAAUGCUUUGGCAUGUAUUCCUCAUCCCCACCCCAAGCCGGGAGCUGUGGGUGUGUGGGGCCAUCACACCCCUCCAUUCCCGAGGAAUUGGGCUGGGAAAUCUUGUAACUGCAUUGAUUUUGGAGUGGGAUGGAGAAGCUGGGGGAGGUACUGUGGGGUGCUGGGGGUGCUUGGGGUGUGGGAGUGCCCGGGCACAGGCAGGGCAGCGGGAGCUGCCGGUCACUGCCAGGUUACAUCUGCCGGGGCACGCAAGAGUGACUCCAGAUGCAUUAGAAGUGCCAUGCUCCAAUUUCAAUUUCAUCGUCUCACAAUCAUUUUCAGGCUCCUCUUAGUGCCACAUUAACGAAGCCUGCUCGUUUGAAUGCAUAAUUAGCCCAAGCAUUCUACCUCGCUAAUUUCGAAGCAAGGGGGGGGAGGGAAGAGGGGGGAAUUUGCAUAUUAAUUUAGCAGAGGGAGAGAAAAACUGUUUACCACUUGCUUCUUGCUGUUGAUCACAGCGGACUUAACUCUUUCCCGGGUACCAUCUGGAGCUGUGGAGCCGGGAACCCAGCCGGCACGUGGGACAGGAUGCAAAGGUUACAAGGCAGCAAUUAAAUCCUCCUCGACCACCCUGGUUGCCUUUGGGAGCUGACUGGGAGCACUGGUGUUGAGGCUCCUGGGAGCACAGGGCUGGUGAAGGGCAGCUGAGGUGGUGAUAGAUGCUCCAAGGUGUUCCCCAGCCCUCCUCCACAUGUGGUUCUGGGGUGAAACUGCCACUGUCACCUGCCCCAGGGUGGCAAAGUCCCAUCCUGGGUCUGUCCCUUCCAUCCUUGGCAAAGCCAGGAGAAGGGAUUCCCAACAGCAUCAUCCCUCCUGCAAAGGACGGAUGGGUCUGCCCUGUCACCCUUGGUGUGUCCCCUUCAAAGGGACACCUCUGUCCUCAUAUUUCCCUUAAUUUUAGCAUCAUCCACCUGUAAUAUGGUGUUAGAUGAGCAUGUGCCAUCCCCAAAAUCCCUUUGGGUCUCAUGGAUUUGGUGUGCAUGGGAUGCCCACAGACCUGCUGCACCCACAGAGCACCCACAGACCAGGGUGGGCAGCCUGGUUGAGCACUGGCAACUCAUUACACCUCCCCCCCAUUACCACCCCUCUUCGUUUGGGAGUCCGUGGGUGUCUUGAGCCGAGGUUGGAGGUAAUUUGUCUGUCUCCUGCAGUGGGCUGUCAUCUCGCAUCUGUGAAUCAGUUCCAUUUGCACUGCCAUUAAAAAAACCUCAGAUCUGACAGGUAGUAAAAAAAAACAUUAAAAAAUUGCAACAGGAUGUUGGGAAUAUCACAAGCUCAUUCCAGAGAUAGCUAGAUUUGAGGGUUGUCACAGCUCCGAUGAGCCGUAUUUUGGCCUUUGGACAGGUAUUCCCAUCUCAUCUGGCCUUUGCACCUCCAUUCCAGCUCCCCAAAAUGACUUUCCACCCCUGGAGACCCACUGCCCCGCCAUCCACUCUUUUCUGCUGGCUUGAAGCCAUCCCAGUGCGUCACAGCAAUUUGGGGACACCUCCAUCCCUGGCAUCCCUUUGUGACUCCUGCAUCCCAGCUGGCACAGAGACAUGCACAAGGGGUUUAUCCAUCACCCUGCUAUGAGAACAUGGAGCUGCAUGGAAGGGGACAUCCCAAAUGUGGGUCUGGGGUCUCCAGAGUGGCCGGAGUGGUGCUGGGUUUGUGGUGGAGCGUGGGGCUGGCUCAGAGGGGGUUAACAGUUGAUUACAGCCUUUGUCUCCGCAUCAGUGUACAUAAUGCGCCCGCAUUUGCAUACUGCAGUGUGCGCUCAAUUAAAAUGAACUUUUAAUUUCUUCUAA